rnacentral:lncRNA from 1 species
GUUUACAGGUGACUCCGGAGGCCUCCCGCAAUGUAACGCGGCAAGAGCAGACCCCUUCCACACAACAUGCUUGCAACUUUUGUUUGUACGAAGCAAAGACUGUCUGCCAGCUCCUAAUAACGUCUGCACUCCAGGGACGCUCUGCGGGAUUUCUUGCUCUAGAAGCGGUCCCAGUCGAUGACAUAUUUGAAGCAAGUGAUCAGGUGCCAAGUGUCGGUAGUAUUUCACCAGGUUCUGGUAGCUGCGCGGGUGCUCCUUGCCCGUCCAGUCCGUGCGCUUGGGCAGCAGCUCUUUCUCCGCCACUUCUCGGAUCAGGACCUGAGCCGCUUGCUGGCAGGGCCCGUCCUCCAGAAAGCGGGCGAUGAGGAAGUAGAGCUCCGCUCGCAGCUCCGCCGUGUGCCUGCUGCCGCCGUCCCCGGACAUGGCGAGGGGAAAGCGGGAGGUGCGGGGGGCCGCGCCUGUCACCGCCGGCUCCGCGGGCAGCGCCUCGGCUCCGGCAUUCGCCCCGCGGGCAGCGCGGCGGCGGGAGGAGGAAACAACAACUCGCGGCCGCCCGCAACGCCGCCGCCACCGCCAGCCGCCGCCAGCGCGAUCCCUCCGCCCGGAGAAAGAGUCCCUUCCUCCUCCGCUCCGCGCCCCCCGCCUCAGCCCCGCCGCCCGCAGCGCAGCGCCCCUCCCCCCGCGUCCCCGGACGCAGCCGCCGCCGCCGCCGCCCGGGCGGGGAAGGAGCGCCGGGGAGGGAGGGCGGGCGGCCCGCGGCUCCCGCCCCGCCGCGCCGACACCGAGGGGAGCGCGUUGACUGGCGGGCCGGUCGGCUCGCGCGGGGAGAAGAUGUCGGAGCGGCGGAGGCGGGGCGGGCGGGAUGAGGCCGCUUUCUCUGCGCCGAGCGGGCGGGCGGCCGGAGCGCGGAGGGAUACGGCGCGCGGCGGCGGGAGGCGGGGCCGCGCGGGCGGCGGGAGCCGGGAAGUGGCCGAGCGGAGUGGCGCAGCGCGGAGCGGAGCGGGCAGAGCGCCCCCGGGCAGCGCGGCCCCGGCGGGGGGCGGGCGGCACCGCGACCCUCCUCCUUCUCCGCCGCCGCCUCCUUCUCCUCCUCCUGCUGCCGUUGCUGCUGCCCGCGAGGCCUCGGGGCGCCGCCGCCAGAGCGAUCGUGGCGCCUCGAUUCGCCGCCCGGCCGCGGACGCGCCGUGAGGAAAGCACAGUUAUGUACGGCACCAACCUACACGACGAGGAAGAGGGGAUUUGUAACAGUUCAAGAGUCUGAAAGCAGAUGAAAACCGCCGUGGAUAUACUGAGCUUCCCCGUUCGGCAGCGCCUCGUAACUUUCCUUGGUGCGCUUCAAAAUACAGCCACAGAAUCAAAAUGUUUUGAUGCUGAAAUAAAGGUUUUGUCUUUUAUUGAAUGUUUUAGAGCGCCUCCCAAAAUGGAAUCCAUUCCCUGGCUCAGGCCCGACCAGCAGCAGUACUACAGACAGCACUUAAUGAGAGCUCUCACAAACGCACACCCCGCUUCUCCUUACUGCUGAGAUCUGAUUUUUUCCUUGCUUAUCUGUGGCUUAACACGAAGCCCCGCUGGCCACAAGAGAAGAUGCGGGUUUGUUGCUGUUUGGUGAGACGUGCUCAAGCCGGUUGUAAGAAUUCCUGCAGCAGCAAUAAAUGCUCCAUUAAUUUGGGGGGAAUUCAGGGGAUUUUUAUUUUUUUGCCUAUUGCAAUUCAGCAGAGGAUGUUUUUGUUACAUGGAGAAAAAUACGCCCAGCUCGGAUUUUUAUAGUCUGUAGUGCUGUGCUUUCAAAUAAUUCCCCCUCUUCCGUGUGAUUUGUCACCUUGCAUUAUCCUGAAGUACAAACGCAUUGCUGCUGUUUCAUCACUGAGAUUUAAUGUUUUUUAUGAGACGUUUUCACUCUGAAAAAAAACCAUAAAUCUCUAUUUAAGGGAAGAAAAAAGGAAUUAUUUUCUUUCUUUGGGUAUAAUAACCAUUUGAGUAAAAAAACGAAAAUCUCAGAUUACUUUAAUCUGGUAAUUUGGUUGUUCUAACGCCGGUAGCACUGCGUAUUCUUUUUGCAGAUACGAAGGGUCUCACAGCACUUUGUGACUUUCAGAUGGGAAUGCUCGUGUGCGUUCACUGAAAUCAUGUUGUUAAUAGAAAGAUUACUAGAAUUUGCUGCUAAUAAAGCUGAGACAUAGAACUGAGUCAAUUAUGAAGUGCUCCAAAGGUUUUUACAUUUCCCCUGCUUGCUGCCGUGGCCUGCUUUCUUCCUUAUUAUUUUUAUUUUCAAUCUCCCUGUUUUUCCCUUCUUCAGUAAGUGUAAAUAUCCGAAUACAGAUCUAUUAGAGCGAAUGUCCUUCGAUCACUGUUUGCUUUUAGGAAAUACGACUGUAGUAUCUUUGAUUUCUCCUUGAUUUUUGUGUAGGGUUUUUUUGUUUGUUUGUUUGUUAUUGUUUUUAAUUCGUUUUCUUUCCCCAUAUUGGUUUGCUGGUGUAGUUUAACAAUGCUGUAACCAGAAAGCGCGCUGCUUGCUGGCUGCGGCUCUCGAUGUGAAAGGCUUUCUGUUUCUUGUGAAAUCUGGGCUUUUCUUUAUAGACAAAGGGAAGUAUUUAUGGUUUGUAAAUCGCCAAGCCGGACAAUGUAGCUAAAUAUUUGAAGCACAAUAUUGGGGGCUGGGGGGCUGAGAACAACGUAAAGCAUUAACCGAGCUUCCUUGGUUGAUUUGUUUUGUUUCAUUUUCCCCCUCCUCCCCCCUCUCAAUGGGAAUGAUCACCACCAGUUGCUCAUCUUUUUUUGUGAGUGUUGGUUCUUACUCUUGAAGCCAAGCGUUAAUUUUUCAAGGGUGAGAAGAGAGGGAUGUUACUAUGGAGCCAGCCAACUUUUUGUUUCAUUGUUACCGUCUAUAUUCUCUAUCUGCAGAAAGAACCGACUGUGCCAAAAUACAAUACUACCGUGAGUAAAUGCCUCCUGCGCUUUUAAAUAAUAACCUACGAUUCAACAAAACAGCUUCACAUCACAAUGGUAUUAAAUACUCGCUUGUUUACGCCUCGUACCUGAAAUGCAUCCUCUCUGCACACUGCAUUGGUGACCCUACUGAGCCUGCCACUGGAGAGCUCCUUACGGCUGGUGUAGCUGGUGUCACCUGCCCAUACCAGGCACCAAAUUCCAAGCUGUGUGCUUCAAUCCCGGGCCUUUCUUUACAUUUUUCAGUGCACCCUUUGGUACAGAAUGCAGAUGUCUUCCCACUCAGCCCAAAAUAAACCACUUCUCCUUUUGCUUUCUUCUCAUGAUGGUGGAAAGCAGUGUAGAAUUAGAAAUCUAUACUACUCAAAGUACCACCAGCAUUGGCAAGUUCAUGUUUUAUAAAAGUAUGAGGAUCGGUUCACCUCUAAUAUGCUUAUUAGCAAUCUUCCACAGGCAGAAGAGCUAAAUCCAAGUCACUUAUAAAAGUGGCACUGUGUUUUUUUUACGCGGCAUUUGUGUGUACAAAAUAAGCAAUAAAUUAUAAACUAUACAAUCAAGCUUCUGAAGUUAGCUCUAUCCGCUAUUUGUAUUUUCAGUAGUAAAUGAGUCUGGCUGAAAUUCAUUCUCUGCAGCCCACUGUUACCCAAGUACAUAUAAACUGCAGCAACUGUGACAUUCUUUCAGUUUCGCUAUUAGAUCUCUAAAUGGACACAAAAAAGUCCCUUCUACAGAGAAACUAAGGAUUAGACCUAUGCAAUUCCUACUGAAUAAAGGACUUCUAUUAGUUUAAGGGUUUUUUCCCCCUGUAUUUCAUAAAAGACUUUUGAUUAAAGUUACCAAAUCAGUUUGACAGUACAAUUUCCCAUGCUGAAUAUGCUGCCCACCUAUCUGGACCAUUACAACAAAAAGCCUGAGCUGCUGUACUACUGUUGGCCCUUGGGCUGCUCUUCACAGAGCAUGUGGGAUCUUUGCCAUCUUUGGUUUCACGUCCAUGUGACAUCUCAGAAGUUUUCUCAGAAUUUUAAGGAUUAUGGUUUGCUUCUUCCUUUGUUUGUUUAAGCAAGACUUCCAAAAAAACAAAUAUAUGGGGGCGUAUUUUAGAGGAGGCAUACUCAAAAACAAAUAAGGAGGAGAAGAAAAGUGUGUUUACACUGUUGCUUCCUACAUUGGCAGUUAUUUUCUUAGGUCACUCCUAGAAAACUUUCAAAACCAAUUGCAGUUACUGUACUUCCUAGUGGUAUCGCCGUGGAACUUCCACAAAGUUAAGGCAGUGGACUGUCACAAAUUAACAUCAAUGUAAUAACUCGAGAGAUUCUGCCACGCUGUUAUCCGAGAUAUGGUCUGAUACACUUGUAAUUACAGGAAAGGCUGAAGGAGAAAUCUUUCAGUGUUUGCAGAUAUGCACGGUGCAGUUUAGAUAGAAAUAGAGGAGGCUGUGAGAAACAUGGGAGAUCUGCCCAGAGAAGGGUGGAAGACCAACGCUGGUAAAACUUUGUGAUGUUACAUUUAAAAUGAUCUGUCGGAAGAAGUGAGUCAGUUAUGUUCCUCAUGGGCUCCUAAGCCAAGCUAAAUUUGAUAUCUGGUCAUAAAUCUUUUAAAAAGACCGCUCUAUCGUGUACUCGCCACUGAGAAUAUGGGAUUUUAUUUUUCCCUAGAACUCUAACGUGAAACUGAUGGCACACCUUGUGUUGGAAUUCUGUGUUGCCUUAUCCCCAAAGAAUCACAGUUCAGAGGUACGUGAGGAAAGCAGUUAGGAUCAAGAAGAAGUAUUCUGGGAAAUAGAAUUAAGUACUGGGGAAGUAGAAUAAAAGAUGUGAAGGAGGUAAGGUAUAGCACGGCAUGCCAAAUACCUGUGUUAAAGACAAACCAGGGGCUUCUGUAAACUCUGGGACGUGGUUCAAGAACUGAAACAGUCAAAUAACUUCAAAUAAAAAAUGCAGCUUUGUCCCCAUCACAAAAUGUAGCUGUCUAGGCCUUACUUUUGCCUCAGAAUCACCAGAGCAGAGAUUUCAGCAGUCCGAAGAGCUGACACUUAGAGGUAGAACACCCCGUGAUACCAGAAUGCAGAAGGAAGGGUCAUUAGUCUGAUCCGACCCAGCAUCGCUGCACUGGGGGCACUGAGGCGACGCUUCAUUUCUCCCAAGUCUUUCCUUCAAGUGCAGUUUGAUUUCAUUUAGAGCUGCGACAUGUUUUUAUUUCUGUGUUAUAGAAAUAUCUGCUUUCCCCAAAAUAACAGCGAUGUAACGUGAGGAGUACCAAUAUUUGCACUUAGAGUGUAAGACUUCCAUGCUGUUAGCAUUGAACGGUUUGGCUGGCUGUGCCAACUUGGCAUAGUGUGUGUGAUCUGUCAGUCAUCCACCAAGCACACAUCGCUGAGGUCCUGAUCCCCACUUACUGAUACGUCUUUUGAGAAAAUCCUGGGCCGUGGAUCCACAUUUCUUAACAUUUUGUUCUCUUCCGUGUUCACCUACAUGGGGAAGAAUUUGAACUGAACAGGUAUUUCCCACACACCCAAGAGGGUAAAUCCGCAGAGCUGCUGUGUGAGGGCCGGGCCGCCAUUUUGGUGGGUCCGUGUGGUAAGCGUGCUCUGGAAAUGCUUCUUGCGUCCGAUUUGCAAGUAAGACAAGCAGUUCUGUGGCGCCCAAGUCAGAAUGGACAGCUUUGGGGACCUGAGAAUCCUUUCAGGGAUCUACAAGUGAUGCUAUAGUCUCUGCUAUGGGCAUUCUCACCCUGCUUGGAGUCAGUGUCCCACAGGCAGGUGCUCUUGAAGUGGGAUCUGCAGCUUUUGCACGCUGCUGCUUUUUGCAUGUGUGCAUUGUAUUAAAGCUCAGGCUUCUGAGAUCAAAUAAAAAAGGAACUGAACUUGAUCUUUCAGCAUCAAGUUUCACUACUCCUAAUUGCCUCUCAGCAGGCCCUUGUAAGAAAAGCACUGAAUAAUACUAAAACUCAAUCAGCUAAUGUAAAGGAACAAGAUGUUUUAUGAUGACUAGACCGAGCACUUAAAGAAACGCACAGGUAUUUCUUUUUAACAUAGCUCUGUUUUUGGAGUUCAUUAUUCCAGCCAUGAUAGAAAUGCAUCUAUUUAGUCCGUGUAUUGCGUUUUUGUAUAUGUGUUUGAAAGUGUCUUCAGAGACAAAUGAGUGUGUGGGAUUCACCGAGCCCUCUGCGUAAAUACAAAUGGUGUUUGAGUCACCUUGUUAAAUACUGGAAUACCACGCUGGCAUGGCAGCGUUUGAGGGGUUGGGACUCUCCAAAAUCCUCACCCAGAAACACUGGGGUUUUUGUUGUUUGCAUGCCAGGCAGGUUUGGUGUGACAGAACAGCUGGGUCAUGCUUUAAGCCUUAUCUGUAAGACAUUUAUUAGAAAUGAAAGCUGAGGCUUACACAGUUUAUUUUCCUCUAGAUAAAAAAAACCAUCAAAUUCCCGCAAGCUGAGAAAUAAAAAUAGAAAACACAAAUUCUCCUAUGUAAUCUAAUACAAUUCAUCCAAAUCAGGGGGUGGAGAAGAACAAGGUGUGCUGUUCCGCUGAGCCACAGGAGGAAUUGCUCACGUGGAACUGAGGUGACACUGCACACAGCACACUGACUAUCAAAGAAAGGAUCGCUUGGAUGCUGUUAAUCAAAAUUGCAUCAGAACCUGUAUUAAUGUCUCAGAUUAAAGCUUAAAUUUCAGCCCGUAGGUGAGUUUCAGAGAAUUCUGGUAAAUCUGUUUUCUAGAAGCAGAAAAGAGUUGACUAACAAACUACCAAAAAUCCUUCUCAGAGUGCUGGCAGCCUCUGAGCUUUGGGUUCACUGUAUUUAUGAGAUGAACACAGAUGGUCAGAAAGCGGUGGGUGAAUCAGUAGUCACAGGUAGAACACCAGUGCUAUAACAAACUCCAGAGUCGGUGUAAAGCUAUUUAAAAAACUGGAAAAAAAUAAGAUUAAAAGAAUUGGACAUUCCUUUGGCAUGCUGGAAGCAGGCUCUGCCAGCCCGGCGUCCUUCAGGUAAAUGACUAAAGAAGUGGUUUAUCCUCCCAAAGCUUGGAAUCGGAUACUUCAAAUCACAGAGGCUUUGACUGAGGUUCCAGCCUCAGUGUUUCUGGUAGGAGAAGGUUAAGUGCUGCUGCCAGGUCUUAAAGCCCAACAUUUUUGUUUCCCUGGGUUGCAGACAACUCACUGACAACUGUGAGCAAAAAAAAUCCCCAACCAAAUCAGUAAGAGGUAUUCCUGUACAUAGCCUCAUUUAAAAUAAACAAACCAAAAACCCACAACACAACUAUUAAAUUCUCAUAACGUGGCAGUGCCUCAGCUCUCUUAAGUUCUCAAGUAGUAAAGGAAACAAUCCAUAUAAGCAGUCCUAAGUCCUGCUUCUUUCUUUAGGUCCUUAAACCAAAUAAUUUACACUCAAAGAAAACGAGAAAAACCUCCAGCUGAAAUGGCCAUACUGAUUCCCGGCCCACUGCUCUCCUGGGCUUUUGUCAGCCUCAGUACAGCUUUGAGGCUGGCUGUGGGGCAGUCGGUGCAGGCUGUUGGGGUGCUCCCAGCCCGCAGCUCUGUUGGCAGCCCUGCAUUUUUCCUCUCCCUGAGCCAUUCAGAGGCUGCUGAGUGCCUCCACCAGCACGGGGCUCUGCAGGAGGGCAGGACACGGUGUAAUCACAGACAGUAACUGUUUGGCUUCCAGCGUCAGGUAAGCGGUACUUGCUGUUACUUCUCUCUGCUUUGUAUUUUCAGUGCUAGUAAGCCAAACUGUACCAGUGCUUACACUCUGCGGCUGACUGCCACUCUCUGGCUGCGCUCAUACUGUUAAAACUCUGACAGGGCAGAUGCAGCUGUCCUGCUUCGGUGGCUAUAGCUUGGGCUGAGCUGAGCCCUGAGCCGUGGCAGGGAUGUCUGCAGAGGACCUGGGUGCAGCUUGGGCCCAUGUGGGGGGCCCCACCCUAGCACCAUUAACUUGCCAGCUCAGUGACACGGAGACAAACUGAAAGCCAAAGACUGCCACUGUGAUUCACUUCUAAAAAUCAAAAUUGGAUGUUAGUGAGAUAUGUAUGUAAAGUAUGGAACACAUCCAACACCAGUGUCCUUUGUUCAGAAGUUCUACAGGGUGAGUUAAAUCCCAGCCAGUCUGUAACAAAACCCCAACGUAUCUCAGUAUAGUUCACAAAGUGCAUGAAUCAUCUGAUCAUUCUGACCAGUAAACUAUGACAAAAGUGUGAAACGCUUAAUUGUUAUUAAUACAAUAAGCACUUGACGUUUAUGAUCUUAUUUUCCUUUUAGUAAAGAUACCGAUCAUUACGUGUAUCAUGCGAUACGGUAACGUACGUAGCAUAUGAUAUACAGCAAAACAUUGCUAUAUCACUUGGCACAGAUUUGCAAAUACUGGCAAGAGUUUGGGUCGCAGGGAUCCUAAACUUAAGGCAUAAUGAGUAGAGAGCCUGGUAUCACCUGCAUUUUGCUGCUUCUAGUUGAUGGAAGUCCCACAGAAGCUCUGGGUGCAGGGCAACUGACCAUAAAAGCUUCUCAGGACUACAGCAAAGAUCACUGAAGGAAGAAUUGAUGUGAAAAAUGGAAACUUGAAAAAAUAGAAAGCAUAUGGCUGCUGAACAGUUGAAAGAAAGCAACGUAACAGUAGAUGGAGGUAAACAUAAAUUAAGCCAACAGGGAGAUUCACAGCAGGUCUCAAACUUCUGCAGUGCUCCAAACUGCUGACUACCUGCAGUCAGAGGCAGCGAACAGCUGGCCGCAGUCGUUCACAAUGAAUCCACGUAAGGUGCUCGAGGCACGAUGCAAAGAAGAGCUGCGGUGAUCAAACACAUCGCCAGACUUCAGCAGGAGCAGGAAGGCUCAUGCAGGAAGAGCACUGACAAGAAUUCUUCUGUGGGAUUUGGACUUGGGGCUUCUUGUUACCUGAUGAAAUCAGGUCUCACAAGCUGGCAAAAGUCCAGGCAGCUUUGAGGGAAGUGGUAGGUAACAGAGCCCUUCAUUCGCAGCCCAACAGUGACAGAAUAUCAAACUGCUAACCACAGAUGCACUGCUGUAAAGAGGUGUACAGUACCAAGUGAAUGGUUGUCCUAUUGCUCCAUGAAAUCAAGGAGACAGGCAGCAUCUUCCAUGUUUGCUGAUACAAAGCAAGGCUGUUGUUAUCGGUAAUAAACCAAACUGGCCAUUGGCUUUUCUAAAAAUGUGAUAUUUCUGAGAAUGUGGCAUUCAGUACUGCAGGCUGCUCUCUGCAUACUACUUCAUGUGUUUCAGGUCUGUGGACUGAAAGCACCACCCCAUCCUGAAAGGGCAAAUGAAGUUGUAGAGGACUCCCUGUUAACUGAUGACCUGCAUCAGACAGGAGCACCACCGUUGUUUUCACUUACCACCUUUUUGAAAUGCUGGAUUGUUUACCUUCAUCUGCAACCUCCUAUCUCGCCUCCAAAGUUGAUACCUAUUGCCACCUGUGCAUACAGCAGCGUUCUUGGCAUCUUGAUGUCAGACAGACCCCUUAUCCUGUGUGAGCACCACCUUCAAGUCAAAAAAAAGUCAGUGAGAUUUUAUCUUCUAUCCUCUUUUCCAGAUAAGCUGAAGCGAAGAGGAUACAGACUUCCAUUCGCAUCACAGAAGAUUCUCUCCUACUGAUUUUAGGAGUCUCACUGUGACCUGUCACCAUGAAUGCUGUGCUUGGCUGAAGGCUCACAAGCUGGCAGUUACAACUAACAAAGGAAAAUCACGUCCCUGUACAGGGAGUUUCUAAUGAGCAGAGUAAUGAGGUCCUAGAAUAGGGUUCCAAAUAGAGCCUAUGGGGAAAAAAAAAAGAUUAGCAUUUAACAACUGAAUGUGAUACGUUUAUAAGGCUCUAUAAUAUAAUAUGGAAGUCUUUAAUGCCAGGUUCCAGACUCGGUGUCACAGUUUCCUGAUAGAUUAAACUUCCACAUACCCCAUUCCCUAUGCUGGCAAAGCUUUCUGAAAGACUGCAAAGGUUCAUCAACCAGUAGUUAACCUAAAAGUGGAAAUUUGGCACUGAUGCCGAAGUGAUGCUUAAUUACAGAAAUACACAGCAGCCCAGAGGGAACCAAAAAGUACACUCAGUAACUGAAUUGUUGAUACAAGACUAGUGGGGGUGGGAGAGGUGUAGUGAUACUCAGGGCUCACUUACACACACAAAUAACUUUGCCAUGUUUCCCUGUUUCAUCUGUUCCUAGAAAAAUCAGUUUCUCGUGUUGCAUGAGAUCUCUUCCUCCACCCCUACAAACCCAGGUUACAGGGUCACCCUUUUCUCCUCCUGUCAUUCAUUUUGCAGCUAGUCCCUGCAGGGCAUUCACACCUCUCCUCCCUGACCUGGAGCUGGGAGGGAGCUUUCUUGCCACCUGACCCUGGGACAUCCCCAGCUCCUCCCUCCUGGGCACAAUAGAUGUCUCUGAAGCAACUAUAAAUAAUGACAAGUUCUCUAGACCCAUUGCUCCUUUCUUCUUGUUGGUUAAUCCGGGUGCAAUUUACAUGUUUACACCUCCAGUGGUUAUGAGUCCCUUCCUCUUCCUGUAAGAGUUCAAGUCUUCCACCUUCUUCCAUUACAGAAGAUUAUCAGAAACAAGGAGGGGCUUGGUUCAAGACAGCAGAUCAUUACUAUAUUCUGAUGCCUUUAAGAAAAGCCAUCCUAGAAGAACGGCCUUCCAGCUGUCCUAUGUAAGGCAGAAGGUCUCGUUCUAAAACCUUCAUUCAUGAGGAACCACAGCAGCAUUUCUGUUGAUUUUGGAAAUGGAUGGAAGACUUGGACAAGGUCAUUACAUCCACGCUCCAUCUUGCCACUUUAACAGUUUUAUCACUUCACAUUAAAUUGUUCAUUAUUAGAGUAAGAUUCGUGCCAGGCAGCUUAGUACCUGAAAGCUUCCAAAACAAAUUCAUUUUUAUAGGCCUCACGUCUGAAAUUUGCUUCCAAAUGAGUCAAAACAGUGACAAAACAAUUCCUGCAAGUUACACCACUGUUACAAACUCAGCAUUGAAGUUAAGCACAAUGGGCCCAUGCACUCAAUUUCUUGUUCAGGCGUGAAUUCAAAUUACCGACUUUGUCCUCAUCUCAGCAGAUAAAAAACCUCAAUCCUUUCAAUCCAUACUGGGGGGGGAUAGUUAGUAUCAAUAGACAAAUUCGCACACUAGCAUUACUUAAAUCACUUUGCACCAGAACUAUCUUGGAAGGUGUUACAAUAAAAUGCUGUUUUGCUAUACUAGUCCAACACUUGACAGUCUUGCUUCUUAUGUGUGAACUACUUUGUUGCUAAUGCUUCAGCUCAUUACAGAGUAACCUAGGAAAAUAGAUUAUUCCUCAGCUCGUCCAUUUUCUUUAGGAAAGGCAUUAGUGAUUUCAUUUUCUUAUACAUUUAGAACUGGACCUUGAAGAAGGCAAUUUGUGGGUCAUAAUCCAUAAACCAGCAGUUUUACAGCAAGUUCACAGUUUGUAAAUACAGCAAAAAGUCUGUUUAUUGCAUUCUAAUGCUGCUUCUGACCAUUAUGUUUGCAGUGGUUUAACCACUGGUAAAAGCAUUGCUCUGGGAGUUUCCCUACAAGUAAGGGAACGAUAAUCCUUAAAUGAGGAAGAUGAUAGAGCUCUUGCUGCCAAACUCUUUUACAAGUAGUCCCCUGUAUCUUUUCACACUUCGAUUCAAAUGUAGAAGUUCACUGACUCACUUCAUAUAAAUUAACACGGGGGCCAAGUUGCUGCUUUACACCAAAUACCGAUCUGCUGCCCAGCAGUGUCCCACAUACAACGAUGUAGUGAAAAUAAAGAUCCUAGGAGGCUGCCAGGUCAAAAGCAAUCUAUUCCAAAGAGACGUACACUCCUUCCCAUUCCAGAUUACUUUUCCCUCUCUCAUUAGAUGCCACCUUCUCUUUACAGAACACGGAAUGCUCAUUUGUUUCUCAGUUGUAUAAUUUCCUUUAGGUUAUAUAUACAUUUCUGUUUAAUUGUAUCAGAAAUGUAACAAAGAUUGUGGCACUUGAGGCUUAUCAUCAGGAACAUAACAGUGACUUAAAAUCAAGCCAUGUUCUCUCUCAAGGGACUUUUCUUCGGCUCUCCUGAAGGAAACUUAGAAAUGUAUAUAUUUCUAUCCCACUAGAACUUGAACUCUUACAUACGUGUGUUUUGCUGUUUAUUCCUAUACAAAGACUGACAUAUCCCUUAAGUUACCUAAUAAUCUAUUUUCUUGCUAUUCUUCCUCCUCUUCCCUCACUUAAUUUUCUCUGCUCUUCAGCAUAAGCAUUAAAUUUCCAUUAGCCCCCCUUUAAAUGUCUCUCCUGCAGUUCUCCAUUCACAAAACACCACAUUUGCCAUUUCAAGAGUCAAAAUAACAAGAGCAGCAUUUGCUGCUACGUGCAAUUAGCUCAAGGUCACUCAAGGACAUGGAAGCAGCAGAAAGUAACAGCCACAAGAAACCAAAUAAAGCUCAGGGAAGGAAGGGGGGGGGGGUCUAACUACAGAACGCCGAUACUUUCUGAUCGUUCACUCAAGUGUUGCUUCUGACACGCCUGCUUUCUUUCAACUUGAAAACAAUCCUAAUUAAAAACAAAAACAAUAAAAUGGUUGUCGGUACCCUGAAGUACCCAUCCGUUACUUCCCAGAAAGGUCACACGGCUGAGAAUUCUCCCAAACGCCGUGUAUGAGUGCAGAGCAGCCUAUCAUUAAAUACUGACGAUGCGAGUUUCCUCAUGGCUGAGAUGUGGCACCUGACACUUUCAAGUAACACUUCAAAACUCAAACGUGGAUGUGGGCUCUGCAGAUCACCAGACGCCCACAAAAUAUCUUAGCUAUGUAUGUUUGAAGGUGCUGUCUAAUUUAAUUUAAAAAAAAAACAAAAGCAUUCUACAACCUGAUACAGUUCUUUGCAACGUUUCCUGCCUCUCUGAGAUCUUGACACAGAUGAAAAACACUGCAAAGCACCACCAAAGCACUUCUGAAAAGUCAAAAGUAUCACUCGAAUCAGCAGGGUUAGCGUGUUUCAUUAAACUUCAGCCAAGUCAAUUUGCUGUUGUUAAAUGUUUGUACCACAACUCUAGCUCUGAACUGCAACUACUUAUCUGGUCAAGCUGACAAGGGAAUUUUGUGCCAAAACUGUUAGGUUUGGAUACUGCCCAAUUAACUGAAGGACCCUACUUCUCUCUGCUGGAGGUUUAGUAAAAGGAGCACCCUUAAGAGAAGCCCAUCCAGAGACGUGUCAGGGUCUUACAGUACUUAUGCUUAAGUUGCAUUUCUGUUGCAAACCAUCGCUGCAAGACCUCCCCCGUUUAGGUAAGCUUGAGCAUCUCCCAGCACUCUACAGAAAAAUCUCGAGUACAAAAACCCCUCCGCACAGAAAUGAUAAAGCCCUGAAUUGGUAAAUGCUUAUAAAAAGCACCUUGGCGAUUCUGUGGUAAAAGUUCAGACACAAC